UACGAAGGGUGCAAGCGUUACUCGGAAUUACUGGGCGUAAAGCGUGCGUAGGUGGUUUGUUAAGUCUGAUGUGAAAGCCCUGGGCUCAACCUGGGAACGGCAUUGGAAACUGGCUUACUAGAGUGCGGUAGAGGGGUGUGGAAUUCCCGGUGUAGGCAGUGAAAUGCGUAGAUAUCGGGAGGAACAUCUGUGGCGAAGGCGACACCCUGGACCAGCACUGACACUGAGGCACGAAAGCGUGGGUAGCAAACAGG
rnacentral:rRNA from 1 species